GUCUAAGCCAUGAUGAAGUGACAUAGGGUGGUCCCGUCG
rnacentral:antisense_RNA from 1 species